rnacentral:rRNA from 1 species
GUCGAGAAUCUUCCGCAAUGGACGCAAGUCUGACGGAGCGACGCCGCGUGCGGGAUGAAGGUCUUCGGAUUGUAAACCGCUGUCAAGCGUUAUGAACAAGCAGGGACCAACAAUUCCUGCUCUGACAAAGGCGCUAAAGGAAGCCACGGCUAACUCUGUGCCAGCAGCCGCGGUAAUACAGAGGUGGCAAGCGUUGCUCGGUGUCACUGGGCUUAAAGGGCGCGUAGGCUGUGCGGUACGGUUCGGGUGAAAUCCCUCGGCUCAACCGAGGAACUGCCCGGGCGACGGCCGCGCUGGACUGCAUCAGGGGACGAUGGAACUCCCGGUGGAGCGGUGAAAUGCGUAGAUAUCGGGAGGAACGCCGGUGGCGAAAGCGAUCGUCUGGGGUGCAUGUGACGCUGAGGCGCGAAAGCCAGGGGAGCAAACGGGAUUAGAUACCCCGGUAGUCC